CCUAUACCCACCUGCUAGCGAGUCCCCCAUCCCCACUCUCCCUUCAACUCCGACCCAAUCCCUAACCCUAGACGCGGUGAUUGGAGACGGCGACGGUGGCGGCGGACGAAUCCAUUCUUCUCCAGUGAUGGAGAGCGAGGCGGACUGAAGACAAGGAAGGCGGGCAGCAUGGACGAUGGAGCAAUGAGGGUUGACAUGUUUUCUUUAGAGAUUAAAGUUGAAGGUUUUGUCACCACUACCAGUGAUGGCGGUAGAACCUACAGUGAAGGCAAGGUUAUUAAGUGGAUGUCUAGAGAAAAAUCCCAACAAAAAGAAAGUAAGAUGUAAGAGGUGCAAAGGGCAUGGACACUUUGAAAAGACCUACAAGCUGGUAGAACCAAAAGAAGAUGAAGCUGUAGAAACUGAAACUAAACCCCAAAAUAAGAGGACGCGACAAGAAGAUGAGGGCACUAGUGAAGCACCUCAACAGAAGAAGAAAAAGAAGGCACCGGCCAAGAAGGCACCAGCCAAGAAGAAGGAUACACCCAAGAAGAAAAAGACACCAACUAAGAAAAAACAGAAAAAAAAUUAACUGCUCCACCACCUAGAGUUGUUAGGAGCCUGUUGGAUUGGCUUAAUCAAGGCAUCGACAACUGAAGCACCUCAAGUCAACAACUUUGUUUAUUUUGUUAAGUUUGUGAACAUGUCUGUUAUUUUAUCCACUGAACUUGUAAGGCUUAUAUGUGGCCAAUUUGUGAACCUUUAUGCCAAAUGAACCUGUUAGGCGCUUCUAUGGCCACUCUGUGAUGUUAUCUGAA